CCCCUUUCUCCGCGUGCCACAGCCAACCGCCACUGUCCGUUCAGCACCAGAGGAAAAAGAGAGAAGAAGAAGUUUCCGCUGGUUUUAAAAUAGCUCAGCUCGGAGCGAAACACACACCGGUGAAAAUUCCCAUGCAGGCAAGGCAGCGAGACAGAAGAGAUGAGAGACAAAAGUCUACAUUUGGAUCUGAACUCAUUUGACAGGUCAGCGGCUCAUGAGGUCUGUUUGGAUGUGUGGGAACUCCAGUCUGCAGCUGACAGCUUGUUAACAGAAGGAGAUUUGACCGCCAACCCCAAUCACUCUUCCCCCCGCUCUGCAGCAACAAGGUCAAAAACAGAGGUGGAGGAGGGAGGAACGCUACGGGAUUGUGGUUUUUGGGUCUUUUCUAUGGUAGCCUUGAGAGCUCAACGCACUACAAUUUAAAGGUAAUGUGUGGAGUUUUUGACCACUAGUCUUUUUUGAAUGUGUCCCGUUAUGUUGGUAUUGUACACGUGCAAGAGGAUGCACAUGCAUGCACGUGGGCAACACGAUAUACUGUACAUACUUGCUGCUGGUUUCGAUCGACAGUUUGUGGCACUAACACACAAAGAAGUGUAACAAUCCGCCAACAAAGGCAGUAAAGAAGAACGAAGAAGUAAUGGUAACAAGUAAAUAUGGAUGUAAACAAUGCAGAAUUUAAAAUAUUCAACAAAUCUGCUCUGCAAAUGUUCUAUGAGGAAGGGAAUGUAUUUAAUACAUUUACAUGCUGCAAAGGAAUAAAACAGACAAAUUGAAAACACCAGUUUGACAGCACAUGCAGCAUAAUGACACGUGCUGCACUGAAUGGGAAAUUGUUAUUGCAGAGAGAGAAUUAGAACAUCCGAAAUGGUUGACUAUCUUGACAGAAUGUGGUAAAUAUAUAAAGACAUAGCACAUUUUAAGAUAUUACAUAGAUGUCAUCACGCCCCAGUAAGACUCCACAAAAUGAAACUGAUUAAGAAUAAUUUGUGUUAGAAGUGCAGAAUGGAAGGAGGAACUUUCCUACGUUAGUGGGACUAUUCUCAAGUCCUGAGUCGUGGGUUUGUUUCAGCAAUCCCUUUGACUCCUGUUUUAUGUUUGUUAGGGGACAGAUCUCAAAUGCCAAAAACAUCAAAAUGUCCAUUUUCUGUUAUGAAGCUCUAGGGUAAGUUCAGUCAGGAAGACUAGACAUCGGCAUGCUUAGGUGUAGUAAUUCUAGGGGCUGUCAAAUCUGGACAUCAGCUGUUCCAUCAGCUGGUCUCAUCUAUUCAAUAGCACAGCGACACACCUUCACUGUCAACCCAUCAUCCUACUACCGUCUGUUUAAAUAUGAUUCUUUCUCUGCUUUCAGUAUGGUCAUUCAACUGUUGCACGCCCCUCCACCGCCCAAUCUACGCCCAGUCAUUGCAGAUCCAUCAGCCUCAGCAGAAUCAUCAGCCACCACCACCAGUGUCUGCACUCCACGGGAGGGAUUUUUUCUGCGCUGCUCAGGACAGACGCCUUCCACCACCAAAAUCUCCCUGCAGAGUCUAAGCGCCAAAGACUCUGUCAAGAUUAACACCUCGCAUCAUCUGUUUAAAUAAAUUCUAUCUUUACUUUAUUCACUUGUCUCUCCUGAUUGAAAUUAUGGUGGGUAUUACAGCCUCCAGAAUUAUUUUGAGGCAUUGGAAAACAGCUAAAGCUCCUGAUUUGAAAGAUUGGGUAGAUGAGAUUACAUCCUAUGAGUCUAUUCACAAUAGAUUAUAUUCAGUAGGGACUUCCAAACGAUCACUGACUCCACCCAACACAGCCCAUUUUAGUCUCUCUUUCUCAGUUACACACACACCUGGUCUUUUCCUCCCUUGCUUGGCCAGAUGUAAAACCAAGUGUGAGAAAUGUUUUUAAUUAUCUAGCCACCUGGACAGGGUUGUAGCAUGAAGACGCACACAUACACAGUAUACACCCAGACACACACAAACACACACAUUGACGUAUAAUGAUUUCCUAUAAAUCUUGACUUUCUUACUUAAAAAAUCUAUCUAUCUGUAUUUUGUCCAGAAUAAAUGUCCUCACUCAAACUUAUUUCAUGACUUGCGAGGACAUCAUGAGGAUAGAAUAACACAGACAAAUACACACACACAUUGUUUCAGGUAACAGAUGUUGUCCUUCUUUUAAUUAAAGUCAACAAAUUAAGACAUUACACUUACUCACUGCUGCAGAAAAAGGCCUAACAACACACACACACAUGUUUCUGUUCUCACCACAUCAUUCUUUAAUCCCCUGUAGGGGAAACUGCAGCUUAAAAUAUUAUUCAAGGGCAGCAGCAGACACUCGUACGGUCAUGGACUUUCUUCUUCAGAUUGUUUUCAGGCUGUUGUUGUGCUUCAGCAGGUCGUUUAAUAACAUUAAACUUGGGCCUAACACUGAACCUAACAAAAGGGAUUUUUCACAACCUGGCAACCAAAAAGUUGUUCUUAUUAAUGUCUUAUAACGGACCUAUAAACCAGUAAUACAUGAUUUACUACCUUAAAGUCGUUAGUUACAAUUUGUUAUUACAUUCAGAUAAAUGAAUGUGUUUAUGUUGUACUUCAUCCCUGCUGGGUGCCAUUGUUGUGAUUGUAUUGUAUAUUUUGCUUGUACUCCAUACUAUGCAAUCAAGCUCUUGAGUCAAUCUGAAUCUGAAUGUGAACAACUUAUAAAUGCUUUAUAAAGGGUGUCUUAUUAGAAAGUGGUACCAUUACUUUAUCAAGUACAAGUCAGUUUCAGGAACUUGAAAAAUUUGUGACUAGAUCUUUAAAAAACAAAAGGCAAAAUAACACAAAUUGCAACACUAGAAUCGAAUAGAAAAGAAGAUAAAUGACACUAGAAACAAAUUGAUUUAUCUUAUAUAGAUUCAAUACGACUUUUAGAACGCAAUAUAGACAAAAAUUUGUUGAGAUGAAGAUUUUUGCAGUGUGGAUAAAUAUUGAAAGUGCACAUAUUUUUAUUAAGACUUUAUUGUUGAGUGUUUAACAAUGUUCAGCAGUGGUACAACAAUUAAGUGCUACAUUGAAGAAUCAACAUACUGAAAUCUGGACUUUUCAUUUCACUUAACUGA